GACGAACGCUGGCGGCGUGCUUAACACAUGCAAGUCGAGCGAUGAAGUUCCUUCGGGAAUGGAUUAGCGGCGGACGGGUGAGUAACACGUGGGUAACCUGCCUCAUAGAGGGGAAUAGCCUUUCGAAAGGAAGAUUAAUACCGCAUAAGAUUGUAGUAUCGCAUGAUACAGCAAUUAAAGGAGUAAUCCGCUAUGAGAUGGACCCGCGUCGCAUUAGCUAGUUGGUGAGGUAACGGCUCACCAAGGCGACGAUGCGUAGCCGACCUGAGAGGGUGAGCGGACAAAUAGGGACUGAGACACGGACCAGAAUCAUACGGGAGGCAGCAGUGGUGAAGAUAGCACAGUGGGGGAAACCAUGAUGCAGCAACGCCGCGUGAGUGAUGACGGUCAUCGGAUUGUAAAACUCUGUCUUAAGGGACGAUAAUGACGGUACCUGAGGAGGAAGCCACGGCUAACUACGUGCCAGCAGCCGCGGUAA
rnacentral:rRNA from 1 species